GCUGAUGUUUGCCUAUGUGCUGAUGGUACAUCAGCACACAGGUAAGUAUGGUAAGGUAAGGUCAUGUAUGCUUAUGUCCAUAUGCAUUACUUUCUACACUAACCUGUGUUCUGUCUGUCUGUCUCUCUGCUCUCUGUGUUCUCUCUGCAGCACAUAGGCAAACAGGUAAGUAUGGUAAGGUAAGGUAAGGUCAUGUAUGGUAAUGUCCAUAUGCAUUGGAUACACUAACCUGUGUUCUGUCUGUCUGUCUCUCUGUGUUCUGUCUGUCUCUCUGCUCUCUCUGUCCUCUCUGCAGCGCCGUGAUGUGAAAUCAUACUUAUCAAGUGGAUUUUGACUGCGUCACAGACCUGAGUUGUCAUUUUGACACUCGGUUUGUGGAGUUUUUGACACAGAGAAUCUUCGUUGUGUGCUACAUCUGUGGAAAAAUGGCUCCGGUCUGAACUUUGUCACAGGACACAUGAGUUGUCAUCAUGACAUUGAUGAUGCAUCAUUUCUGCUCACAUCAUUACACAAAAAAAAGAAGAAAAGAAGUACCUUUAACAUUUUACUAAAAUACAUAAUGGGUGUGCAUCAAGGAUCAGUGUUAGGCCCUGUACUAUUUAAUCUAUAUGUUAAUGAGCUUCCACAGAAAGGGCAAAUGUAUGUCAACAACAUACUGUGGCAGCCCGGUGUACAACCAGCCAUGUUGCGUCGGCACAUAGGCAAACAGUUAAGUCCAAAUGUCCAUAUGCAUUAGUUUAGGGCCAUACACUAACCUGUGUUCUGUCGGUCUCUCUGCUCUCUGUGUCCUCUCUGCAGCACAUAGGCAAACAGAAAGGGCAAAUGUAUGUCUACGACACUGUUGUAUACAAACAUGCUAAACCAUAAAGCAGUCACAGCAAAUGUAAUGUGUCUGUCAGUGAGAUUAGUAUUUUGUGCUAAUAAUUUCCAUUAAAGAAUUAUUUCUUUCCAAUGAAGAUGUAGGUGGACUGUCAUUACAGCCAGAGUUUAAACUGGGACGGAGCCCUCCGGAGCUCAGCUCUGCCUCCUCACCUCGGCACUACAUCCAGCAGGAGCUGAGCUCCCUCUGCUUCGGAGUUUAUAAUAAUCAUGGGCGUAGCUACCAUUACAGGACUUUUUUAAAUCAUUAGUUUGGACCUCCCCUCUUUUGCCAUGUCAAAAAUCAGUAGGCUACAUCAGUCUGUUCACUCAUCGCUGUUUCCAGAGCGCUGUGUCAGAGCUUCAAUAUUGAAUCCGUUCCGCUUGUUUAUUGAUAUAAAACCUGAAUUCAGUCUAUUUUUUCACCUUAAUGUUUUUGUGACAAGGUCACAGAAACAUAAAAUGUCAGUUAUAAAAUCGUUCAGUUAACUAACUGUUAAGAAGCGCUAAACCCUGAGGUCAGUAGACCAUAUAGCAUGUACAGAGAAAGGAAAGGCAGAAGACAAGAGAUCUAAGUCCUAUUUGGAAAGUUGUGAAUUGAUUGUAAUGACUGGCAACUGCUGAUAUUUGGUUUGAUGUUGUGACAUGUAAGAAAGUUUAGCAAACAAUUGAUUUGAUUGAUGUAGAUUUAUGGUGUCAGAUGUAAUUAACUAUGUGAACUUAUGGUGUGAGAUGUAAAUAAGUAAUGCAAAUAACAGUGUAAAUUGAUGGGAUGUAAAAAAAAAAAA